CACGUAGGGCGCGAGCGUUGUCCGGAAUUAUUGGGCGUAAAGAGCUCGUAGGCGGUCUGUUACGUCUGCUGUGAAAACCCGGGGCUUAACCCUGGGCUUGCAGUGGAUACGGGCAGACUAGAGGCAGGUAGGGGAGAAUGGAAUUCCCGGUGUAGCGGUGAAAUGCGCAGAUAUCGGGAGGAACACCGGUGGCGAAGGCGGUUCUCUGGGCCUUACCUGACGCUGAGGAGCGAAAGCGUGGGGAGCGAACAGG
rnacentral:rRNA from 1 species